GCAGCUCAUCAGGUUUAAUUAGUUUUGCUUUAUAUUUGGUUUGGUUGAGCCACGACAUACCGUAGGUUCCCUCGUGUCUUUGUUCAGCUUCUGUUUCCUCAUCGCCUCACUGUUUAGUCUCUAACAUACACCUCAGUCCUUCUGCAGCUUCAGGAGUCACUGAGCAAACCAAAACCCAAAAGGCCUCCAUCUUCACUGCUCGUUUCCACCAGCAGGUUCUUUGGUUGCUGCCAGAAUAAGCACUGAUGACCUUCUGGCCGCAAGUCCCAGCAGACGCCUCCACGAUGGGGAUGUCAUAUCUCCAACCUUCAUGUAAGAGGUUUCAGUUCAUCCUCACUGCACAUCUGAGUUUACCAGGUUUGUUCGACUCCACCUCACCAGCAGGUGGUGAUCAGCUGACAGCUCUUUACCUGCAUGUCAAAGACGUGCAGCUGCAGAUCUGCUAACAUGAUUACUGAGUCAAUCAUUGAUUACUGGCCUCAGGUGUUCUGAUACCAGGUACGCUUAUCAACCACCUUAUCAAGCAGGUUUUUUUGGACUAAUUGGCAGUAUAACUUUGAGCCCAUAGUUCUCAUGUUCAGAAAUUACAUUAAAACAUGAGCAGUACAGUUGUUUCUGUGAUAUGUUGUAUGCUUUUUAUCUAAGGAAGUGAUUCAUUGGCAGUUUUUAAAUAAUUAUUUUCCUUUGCUUACAAUUUCUCCAACUCCCACGAUUUUACUGUAAAAAGAGAAAUAAAACAUUACAAAUUGUACUGCAAUUUUUGAGAAAAGCAGCUGCAAAAUCAAACACUUUCGGCUGCAAUAUUAACAAAAAAACUCAGUUAAGUCCUGGAUGGAGUGACAGAUGUAGUGUAGUAGAAGUAUAAAAUAGAAUAAAAUGGAAAUUCUUGAGUAAAGAACAAGUAACCAAAAACUGUACUCAAGUAAAUGUAUGUGAGUUGCGUGCCUUGUUAAAAGGAUCAGAGUGUAAAUCUCCUCCUCAAGUUCACUUUAAUCUCAUCACAGCUGCUGCUAAGAAUACACACACACACACACACACACACAUACAUCUGACCCGACCUCAAUCUCUGAACUUUGAUCUCUGUGUGACUCAGAUUCAGCUCCUGACCUUCAUCUGACCCCCCACUGUUCACUCAAGUUCAGCUUUAACCUGAUGAUCUCCCAAGAUAAUCUGAUCUAAUCUGAAUUCUGCCCAGCAACAGUCCGUAAGGAGCCGUGUGAUUGGCCUGCUGAGCAGUUGCAGGAUCUCUACAUGAGACAUAGAAGCCGGUGUCUGAUUACAGUACAGUUCAUUAACAUCAUUAGUGUUUAUUUAUAGUUUAAUCUUUUCCUUCAGUUUAUUUUCAGUCUCUGCUGGUUUCAGAGUUUUGUAAAUCAGAACCAGAAACAAGAUUCAACCCAAACUGUACCGUGAGGUUUAUGCAGUUUUGUGUGUUUUCUGUAAAAAGUGGAGUUUUACAGAGUGAAAUAAUCUGAUAAACCCUCAGGAUGAAUUUAACUGCAGCUCUGAGUCCUAUUCACAUUGUAAACACAGAACUAACAAUAAUUUAAACGCUCAUUAUAAUUAUAUUUUCUAUUUCAGCUAAUGUGUGUUUUAUUUUAACAUCAACCAGGUCACAGGUCUGUUUGUUAAGAGGCAGAGUGUCAGCUGAUCAACACACACAUGACAUUAUUUAUAUGCAAAAAUGGCCACAACAUCUAUCUGAUGUGUUUAUUUGUGAACUUUAUGAUUUUAUUUGAUCAUUAAAUUCUGCACAGACAGGUGAGCUUUGAUGUCACAGUGAAAUGUCUGGCUGUCAGUUCAUGAGAUGCUUUAAAUGUACGUUGAAGUAUAAUUUUUAUAAACUGUGAGAGUUUUAAUCAACAGACUGAAAGAAGAACAGAGAGACAGAACUGAGAAGCACAUUAAAGCUAAUGCAUCAUACAUUUAAAAUAUUGGUAUGAAAAUGCAAUUGUUAAUUGUUCAAAUCUGAGAAAAAUCCGUAUAAGUCUUUUAGUCAUAUAUCUGAAUAGUACAAUAAGUAGUACAGGCUUGUCCAGCUGUGUGUGUGUGUGUGUGUGUACUUGUAUUCCUCAUGUUGUGGGGACUCGCCUCUUUUUUGCAGACAAGAAGCAAGUCCCCUUAAUAAAAAUCAUAAAACUUUAGGGUGGUUUAAGGUUAAAGGAAGUCUCCAGGUCCAAGAUUAGAAGUCACGGCGCCUUGAGGAAAUACAAAAAUAUUUAAGAAAUGUGUCAAAAUAAGGAAGAUCAGCAGGAGACUCGUACUAUUAUUAAUACCGGAUAAACAUACUGCUGCCCUGCUCUGUGGAGGUUAUCAUGAACCAGUGGAUCCUCCAGAUGGGGUUCCCAGUGGUCACCAUCAACACCCGGACUGGAAGAAUCACACAGAAACACUUCCUGUUGGAUCCAGAUUCUGUAGUGGGCAGACCUUCACUGUUCAAGUCGGAAAAACUUAAUCAAUUUUUCAUGCAAACCUGCUUCAUAUAUAUGUGUUAUAUUGAGCCUUGUCAUGCUAAACUCACCACUCUGCCUUUAUGUGCACGUGUGGCUGUACGGAUGUGGCUCCAGUUAUGAGUGGAUUGUCCCUGUUGCGUGGAUUAAGACUGAUGAAGCCAAAAGCAGGACUGGCUUGUUAAGACAGAAGGUUGGAUUCAUUUAAGACACGUUAAGAGCAGCGUAAAGAUGAUGGACAUGAUGUGAAAAGAUAUAUUAUAUAUUCUUAUAUUAUACAUAUUGGAUAUCUGAUGAAAAACUGUACCAAAGUUCAAACCAAACCAACAUCUGUGAUUCAGGUCCAGUAAUUUGAACAUCUAGCUGCAGUAAAACCUGCUGAACCUGAUUGUAUUUGACAGUGAGAAGAAAAAAAAUGAGUUUAACUGCAUCUGCUGGUUCAUUUCUACAGAAAUGUCAGUAUAAUAAGUAGUAAAGGAUCAGAAAAAUGUUAAUAAGUUCUGCCUUAAAAACAAAAAACGGUGAGUAAUCAAUGUAAGUCUGUGAUCAGUGAUGGAGAAUUCUGGUCAUGCAGUAAAUGUUACACAUACUGGAAAAGCCUUGUCUCUCUGAGGCGUUUAGGAACCUAAUCCUCUCAUAGGCAUCCUUGGAGUAACAAGCUCCUCAUCUUUGGCCAAUAAGUUUGUAAAAAAUGGUUGGUUUUUUUUGGAAUGGUAAUUGCAAAAAAAGUUAAUCUUGCGAGUGUGGAAAAUGGACUCACGCACACUUCACGCCUGGAGAGAUUUAUCAAUUAAAACAGACGAGGUGUGUUUGAUAAGAUCUUUUUAGGGUAAGGAAUAAUGUGUCCAGUGUAAAGCACCUUUAUUUACUAUGUAUAUGUGGUUAUUGUUAUUAAUAUGGUUGUGCUGUUUGUUUGUUUGUAUUCUCUUUAUGCU